GAUGAAGAACGCAGCGAAAUGCGAUAAGUAAUGUGAAUUGCAGAAUUCAGUGAAUCAUCGGAUCUUUGAACGCACAUUGCGCCCGCCAGUAUUCUGGCGGGCAUGCCUGUUCGAGCGUCAUUUCAACCAUCAAGCCCCCGGCUUGUGUUGGGGACCUGCGGCUGCCCGCAGGCCCUGAAAACCAGUGGCGGGCUCGCUGUCACUCCGAGCGUAGUAGCAUAUAUCUCGCUCAGGGCGUGCUGCGGGUUCCGGCCGUUAAAAGCCUUUUUUUACCCAAGGUUGACCUCGGAUCAGGUAGGAAGACCCGCUGAACUUAAGCAUAUCAAUAAGCGGAGGA
rnacentral:misc_RNA from 1 species